rnacentral:lncRNA from 1 species
UGGCUAGCAUUGCUUUCAUUUGAACUAGAGGCGGAACUAUCAAUAAUAUAUCUAUUUAGUGAAACAAGUGGUUUGGAUGCAUCACUGCAAAAUUACAAAAUGUCUAGUGACUUUUCAACGCCUUUAUCCGACCAGCUAGAAGAUUUCUUUCUUUUUUGGACAAUAUUGAUCACUUCAAAAGUGGAGAUGGCUACCGCCUUGGGGGCUGAUGAGGG